AGGAAUUUUAGUUUAAAAUAGAACAUAUAAUUUGCACCUAUAAAGAGGACCCUAAACCAAAUCUCCA
rnacentral:tRNA from 1 species